CCGGAGGGAGUGACCGAGGAGUUAGCGAAGGGGACACUAGAGGUGGUAGUAGAGGGGGAUGAGAGGGUUGCGGAGGACGAGAGGACGCCAAAGAUGACGGAUGACGAUGUAGUAUUCGUGUUGGAGGGGGCGAUGGAGGUGCCGAAGGGUAAGAAGCGUGCUAAUGACGCGCCAGAGCUGAUGGUACGUAAGAGAUCGAGAUUGCCGUCACAGUACAUUGUUUCCCCAUACACGACCGAGGCGAAGAGAAGGGGUUUUGUGGAUGGGACGUUCCCCAAUCUUUUUCGCGACGUCGACCCGGUCAGACAGAAGGCGUUCGAUGAUUGGUUCAAAUCUCUUAAGUCCGAGAAAGUAUUUUAUGAUUUUGCUAUUAUUUUUUUGUAUUUUUCGUAACUUUUUUUCAUUUUUCAAAGAUAGUUAUACCAUCGGCUGUAUGACCGUGCCCAACGCUAAAAGGUGGUUCGAAGAUGUACUGACGACCUCAGCUUGGCUCGCUGAUGAUGUAAGUUUUUUG
rnacentral:lncRNA from 1 species